rnacentral:rRNA from 1 species
AAACCCGGUGAUCUAGCCAUGGGCAGGUUGAAGGUUGGGUAACACUAACUGGAGGACCGAACCGACUAAUGUUGAAAAAUUAGCGGAUGACUUGUGGCUGGGGGUGAAAGGCCAAUCAAACCGGGAGAUAGCUGGUUCUCCCCGAAAGCUAUUUAGGUAGCGCCUCGUGAACUCAUCUUCGGGGGUAGAGCACUGUUUCGGCUAGGGGGCCAUCCCGGCUUACCAAACCGAUGCAAACUCCGAAUACCGAAGAAUGUUAUCACGGGAGACACACGGCGGGUGCUAACGUCCGUCGUGAAGAGGGAAACAACCCAGACCGCCAGCUAAGGUCCCAAAGUCAUGGUUAAGUGGGAAACGAUGUGGGAAGGCACAGACAGCCAGGAUGUUGGCUUAGAAGCAGCCAUCAUUUAAAGAAAGCGUAAUAGCUCACUGGUCGAGUCGGCCUGCGCGGAAGAUGUAACGGGGCUAAACCAUGCACCGAAGCUGCGGCAGCGACGCUUAGGCGUUGUUGGGUAGGGGAGCGUUCUGUAAGCCGUUGAAGGUGGCCUGUGAGGGUUGCUGGAGGUAUCAGAAGUGCGAAUGCUGACAUAAGUAACGAUAAAGCGGGUGAAAAGCCCGCUCGCCGGAAGACCAAGGGUUCCUGUCCAACGUUAAUCGGGGCAGGGUGAGUCGACCCCUAAGGCGAGGCUGAAAAGCGUAGUCGAUGGGAAACAGGUUAAUAUUCCUGUACUUGGUGUUACUGCGAAGGGGGGACGGAGAAGGCUAGGCUGGCCGGGCGACGGUUGUCCCGGUUUAAGCGUGUAGGGGGUGUGACCUGGUAAAUCCGGUUGCAUAUCAACCCUGAGGCGUGAUGACGAUGCACUACGGUGCAGAAGUAGUUGAUGCCCUGCUUCCAGGAAAAUC